rnacentral:rRNA from 1 species
CCUACGGGUGGCAGCAGUGGGGAAUAUUGGGCAAUGGGCGCAAGCCUGACCCAGCAACGUCGCGUGAAGGAAGACUGCCCUCGGGUUGUAAACCUUCUUUAAGAGGGAAGAGCAGAAGACGGUACCUCUUGAAUAAGCCACGGCUAACUACGUGCCAGCAGCCGCGGGAAUACGUAGGUGGCAAGUGUUGACCGGAUUUACUGGGUGUAACGGGCGUGCAGCCGGGAAGACAAGUCAGAUGUGAAAUCCCGCGGCUCAACCGCAGAACUGCAUUUGAAACUGUUUUUCUUGAGUACCGGAGAGGUCAGCGGAAUUCGUGGUGGAGCGGUGAAAUGCGUAGAUAUAAGGAAGAACACCGAUGGCGAAGGCGGAUGACUGGACGGCAACUGACGGUGAGGCGCGAAAGCGUGGGGAGCAAACAGGAUUAGAUACCCUUGUAGUC